rnacentral:RNase_P_RNA from 1 species
GAAGUCGGUCAGGCAGCCGCUGGGUGCAAGAUGCGAAUCUUGUUCCGAGAGGAAAGUCCGGGCUCCGCAGAGCAGGAUGCCGGUUAACCGCCGGGCACCGCGAGGUGACGGAAAGUGCCACAGAAAACAAACCGCCCAUGUCCUCGAUCGAGGGCAGGCAAGGGUGAAACGGCGAGGUAAGAGCUCACCGCGGCCGUGGUAACACGGAC